CUAUUCUAUUCUAGAUGAAGUUAUGGGAAAGGGUCAAAUUAUGAUUUGUAAUAUUACCCUCACUAUCUGCUGUCAGUUUUAAAGACUGCCCCUUUCGGAUGUAGAUUUUAAGAAAGAUUGGUGGUUUACAUAGCAUUUUAAGAGGCUAUGACAAAAUAGAUGCUUUAUAAAAAUAUUAAAGCCUACUAGUCAAGCCAAGCAUCAAACAAAAUACUCUGAAAUGAUGCGCUCUAACAGUCAAUUCCAAGGGCUCUCUCUACUCAGUUGAAGCCUCAAGAAUCCUUUCCACAUACAUCCAAAACUGGAAGUAUGUAUGCUGAGAAACUUUUUGUCUUCUUAGAUUCAGAUGAUGAAAACUGCUGCUUUCAUCCUGGUGUUCAUCUUCAAAACUUAAAUUAGACCAGCUACCAGUGCUGUCAUCACCAAUACUGAGGUUCAUCUGCUGACUUCCAAGCGACUCAGGUGACUGGAAGUCUUCUGUUCCUUUUGGACUAAAAAGAAAGGCAAAAAAUUCAACUGGAGAGCAUCAGACUCUGAGGUGUAACUAUCUGAUAAUAAAGAUGACAAGAACAAAAAGGAUACACAGAGUUAAGCCAGUGGCCCAUCUAAUGUUUGUGUCA